rnacentral:rRNA from 1 species
GAUGAACGCUGGCGGCGUGCCUAAUACAUGCAAGUCGAGCGAACAGAUGAGGAGUUUGCUCCUCUGACGUUAGCGGCGGACGGGUGAGUAACACGUGGAUAACCUACCUAUAAGACUGGGAUAACUUCGGGAAACCGGAGCUAAUACCGGAUAAUAUAUUGAACCGCAUGGUUCAUUAGUGAAAGACGGUUUUGCUGUCACUUAUAGAUGGAUCCGCGCCGCAUUAGGUAGUUGGUAAGGUAACGGCUUACCAAGGCAACGAUGCGUAGCCGACCUGAGAGGAGGAUCAGGCAAAAUGGAACCGAGACACGGUCCCGACUCCCAAGGGAGGGAGGAGGGGGGAAAACUGGCGAAAGGGGGGAAGGCCGAACGAGGCAAGGCGGGGGGGGGAAGAAGGGUCUUGGGAUGGAAAAACCUUGUAGUUGGGAAGAAAGAAAGUUAGAAAAAACUAUGCACGUUUGAAGGUAACCAAAGAAGAAGGCCCGGCUAAACUAGUG